rnacentral:rRNA from 1 species
ACGGGAGGCAGCAGUAGGGAAUCUUCGGCAAUGGACGAAAGUCUGACCGAGCAACGCCGCGUGAGUGAAGAAGGUUUUCGGAUCGUAAAACUCUGUUGUUAGAGAAGAACAAGUGGGAGAGUAACUGUUCCCACCUUGACGGUAUCUAACCAGAAAGCCACGGCUAACUACGUGCCAGCAGCCGCGGUAAUACGUAGGUGGCAAGCGUUGUCCGGAUUUAUUGGGCGUAAAGCGAGCGCAGGCGGUUUCUUAAGUCUGAUGUGAAAGCCCUCGGCUCAACCGAGGAAGGUCAUUGGAAACUGGGGAACUUGAAUGCAGAAGAGGAGAGUGGAAUUCCAUGUGUAGCGGUGAAAUGCGUAGAUAUAUGGAGGAACACCAGUGGCGAAGGCGACU